CCCUACCCCAACACUAAAUAUAUACCAGCCACAAUCCUACACUAACACUAACCCUAAUGUUGACCAUAACCCUAGUGCAGAGGGAAUCUCUCUGCUGAUAUCAGUACUAACAUCAACAGAAUGUUUUUCUCUACAUACACAGUACAAAGCACUAUUUGAGCAUCAUCUACCAUCAGUUCCCCCAUUCGUGUUGCACAUCUGGAG